UACGAAGGGUGCAAGCGUUACUCGGAAUUACUGGGCGAAAAGCGUGCGUAGGUGGUGAGUUAAGUCUGUCGUGAAAGCCCCGGGCUCAACCUGGGAAUGGCGAUGGAUACUGGCUCGCUAGAGUGCGGUAGAGGAGAGUGGAAUUCCCGGCGUAGCAGUGAAAUGCGUAGAGAUCGGGAGGAACAUCAGUUGCGAAGGCGGCUCUCUGGACCAGCACUGACACUGAGGCACGAAAGCGUGGGGAGCAAACAGG
rnacentral:rRNA from 1 species